rnacentral:rRNA from 1 species
GAUGAACGCUAGCGGCAGGCUUAACACAUGCAAGUCGAGGGGCAGCACGUCUUCGGAUGGUGGCGACCGGCGCACGGGUGCGUAACGCGUAUAGAACCUACCUUUUACAGGGGAAUAGCCCAGAGAAAUUUGGAUUAAUGCCCCAUAGUAUUAUUGAAUGGCAUCAUUUAAUAAUUAAACAUUUAUGGGUAAAAGAUGGCUAUGCGUUCUAUUAGCUAGUAGGUAAGGUAACGGCUUACCUAGGCAACGAUAGAUAGGGGUCCUGAGAGGGAGAUCCCCCACACUGGUACUGAGACACGGACCAGACUCCUACGGGAGGCAGCAGUGAGGAAUAUUGGACAAUGGGCGAGAGCCUGAUCCAGCCAUGCCGCGUGCAGGAAGACGGUCCUAUGGAUUGUAAACUGCUUUUUAUACAGGAAGAAACACUCGGACGUGUCCGAGCUUGACGGUACUGUAUGAAUAAGCACCGGCUAACUCCGUGCCAGCAGCCGACGG